CUCAGUGGCAUACAGAGACACAGCUACCAACCACUGCCUUUGGCUGGAACCAGCUACCAGCACCAUGUACCAGUGCCAUGCGCUAAGAACAAGAAGAUCAGACACCAAUGGAAACAGAUGCCCUAGGUGAUCCAACUUCUUAUAGUACCUCUGUUGCAGUUUCCUCAGAGUUCUGCAUCCAGAACAGUUUCAGCUGCAAAGGCACUUGGAGGUUCUGGAAGUGUGAAGAGGAUCCAGCAUGGCUGUUUGGCAGAAGGAAAGACACAUGGAGGAAGAGGCCUGUUAGAGACGAAUACAGCAGUGUGCUGAAGUGGCAAUGGCAGAAUGACAAAAGGCACAGAGCAGGAAGGAGGGAAGUCUCCUGUGUUAGAGGAGACUUCACUGAAAUGACCUGGAGAGUUGUCUUCAUGACUGUUCUAUUGCUGUGAAAAGACACCAUGGCCAAGGCAACUUAUAAGGGGAGGCAUUUAAUUAGGGAUUUGCUUACAGUUUCUGAGGAUUGGUCUUUCAUCAUCAUGGCAUAGCAGCAUGUAAGCAGGCUUGGUGCUGGAGCAGUAGCUGAGAGCUUUACAUCCUGAUCCACAGACAGUAGGCAUAG